AUUGAACGCUGGCGGCAGGCUUAACACAUGCAAGUCGAGCGGAGAGAGGUAGCUUGCUACUGAUCUUAGCGGCGGACGGGUGAGUAAUGCUUAGGAAUCUGCCUAUUAGUGGGGGACAACAUGUCGAAAGGAUUGCUAAUACCGCAUACGUUCUACGGGAGAAAGCAGGGGAUCUCCGGACCUUGCGCUAAUAGAUGAGCCUAAGUCGGAUUAGCUAGUUGGUGGGGUAAAGGCCGACCAAGGCGACGAUCUGUAGCGGGUCUGAGAGGAUGGUCGGCCACACUGGGACUGAGACACGGCCCAGACUCCUACGGGAGGCAGCAGUGGGGAAUAUUGGACAAUGGGCGCAAGCCUGAUCCAGCCAUGCCGCGUGUGUGAAGAAGGCCUUAUGGUUGUAAAGCACUUUAAGCGAGGAGGAGGCUACUUUAGUUAAUACCUAGAGAUAGUGGACGUUACUCGCAGAAUAAGCACCGGCUAACUCUGUGCCAGCCGCCGCCGUAACAC
rnacentral:rRNA from 1 species